rnacentral:rRNA from 1 species
UACGUAGGGCGCAAGCGUUGUCCGGAAUUAUUGGGCGUAAAGAGCUCGUAGGCGGUCUGUCGCGUCUGCCGUGAAAACCCGAGGCUUAACCUCGUGGCUUGCGGUGGAUACGGGCAGACUAGAGGUAGGUAGGGGAGAAUGGAAUUCCCGGUGUAGCGGUGAAAUGCGCAGAUAUCAGGAGGAACACCGAUGGCGAAGGCAGGUCUCUGGGCUGUAACUGACGCUGAGGAGCGAAAGCAUGGGGAGCGAACAGG